AUGUGCUAGGCAUAUUCUUGCAUUUUCUUAUGCAAUGUUUACCCAAUGUUUACCCAAUUACCACUUCAUUAAUAUAAACAAUUUGCUUACAGUUCGAAAUAUGUUUCCUUUUCAGAAUGUCCGAUUUGCAUCCAUUAUGCGCACAAAACUUACAGUAUUCCACAAAACAUAGUCUCAAGACUGGGAUAUAACAACAACAGAACUGACUUCAAAUGUGCAACAAACACAAAGGCGUCAGCAGAGCAUUGUGGGCCUCGCAUGGUAUCAUGUUCUAGCAGGUACUACCUACGAAGGGUUCGGCAGUCAGACAUUCAAUGGUGCAAACGUCAUAAGUGAAGUGGUUUUGCGCGAUUGCAGCAACGUGCCUGCACAGGAAUGUUUCAAAAUACCGGACCCACGCGCGACCGGUUUUACGAGUUUCACAGGCUUAUCAUGUUUAAGUGCCUCACCCAAAGUGUUUAGUCUGAAGAUUCACGAAUAUGACGUUAUCGGAAAUGGGCCAGCGUUUGAUGGUUCUACUUAUGAAAUGGAAACACAUGCAAACGAAACUGCACGACACAUCUACAGCACUGGGAACGUUGCUCUGCCUUCCUACUUCGCAUGGAUGUACUGUCCUAUUCCCCUGCUGAUGAUACUGUCAAUCUAAUAAUACAAGUACAACCUUGGAAGUGAAAUAAUAUAUAAAUUAUGUAAAAUAGUCGUAGGAAAGUAACUAAGUGAACCCAUUUAACAAAUUGACAAUUAAUUAUUUUAAACUAGGAAUUCAAAAAAGACAAGUACAUAGGCCUAGUCUUAUUGUUGUAUUAUCAAAUAUGUUACCUUUUAUGAUUAAUAAACAGAAAGAAUUG